GCAGUUCUCUUACUUGUGCUCCUGGAUGGUACUGACAGUGGAGAACGGAUUUUUAAUUAAAGAGGAAAAAAGAGUUUUAGUUGGAGAAGAAUGUCAGUGACUCCUGGGUGAGUUUCCCCUGAAUCUGCUGCUGUUCAGCAGAAUCCCAGUUUCAAAAUGCAGAGGGUACAAAACUCAUCCAGCGUUCUUUGCCGUGUUGUGAACACGCACAGUCUGUUUCUUCUGGAAGAACUCCAAAUGAAAGGACCACUGAUUCAACAAUGACAUGGCAGCAAAAGAGCCACUGCAUUUGGAACUGAGGAAUCAUUUCCUCCUGUGCUCAGGACAG